rnacentral:tRNA from 1 species
GGGCAUGUGGUUAAACCCGAAUAGCAGAGGGUCCAGACUCAGAAUCUGGCAGCCUUGGGGGUGCAAGUCCCUUCAUGCCCACCA